rnacentral:lncRNA from 1 species
CCAUAUUAACUUAGAAUUUGUAUAGAUGGCUCCUUCCUGAUUCUGUAAGUACUUUAAGGUUUGGCUGAGUACAAACAACUUGUAUGUUUGAGCAGACCAAUUGUUAGGCAAUUUUCCUAACUCUACUUCUACAAGAGUUUCCUUAUAGUUUACUGAAUACCCAUUGUGUCUUUUUUCCUUAAUCACUCAGGAGAAACUACCUAUCAUCUUGUCCUAAAGGGAGUUCUUCCUAGGUCUAGUCAGACCUUUGUAUGGUAAUUAAUUAAGAUUUAGAUCCCCUGUUAAGAAACCUGCUGGGUUAAGGAUUUUUGAUAGGAAGGCUAUGGGUUGUCAGUGGCCUCAGUGCUUUUGGGCUACGCCCUUGUUUACACAGACAACAAGGUGGUGUUGGACUAUUAUAGGGUCACUAAGAAGACCUUCAAUUAUGAAUUAUAGGUUUUAAAUAUACCCUGGCUUUUAAAGGAAUAGUGUACACUGUUGUUUUCUUUAUUACUUCUAUCUCUCUCUUUUUCUGUCUUUGAUUCCUUCUUUGUCUCUUUCUGACUCCCUCUUUGUUCUCUUCCUCUCUCUCUUUGUCUCUCUCUUUCUUUCUCUCUCUCUUUCUGUCUUUAUUUAUCUUCCUCUCUCUGUCUCUGUCUUUGACUCCUCCUUUUUCUCUGUCUCUUCCUCUGUCUGUCUCUCUCUCUUUUCUCUUUCUCUCUUUCCUUUCUGCUGGUUUUUCUCUGUUGCUGCCAGACACUUAUGCUGCUGUUCUCCCCUCUCCUUCCCCUUUUGAUGGCUUUGGCAGUGUAAGACUGCCACCUCCUUGGGUUUUUGCCCUGUGUGCAAUAACUCCAUGGUUUCCUUUUGAUAUUUAGUGGGGGUUCCCCCAGAGGUUAGGAACUCCCUUUCUUUCCAUAUUGCAGCAUGGGCAUGUAAGAUUAGAUAAGCAUACUUACUAUCUCUAGCAAAGUCUCCCAAUUACAACUGAGGAGGGGGAAGAAAUACCUUGUUACAGGCCAUCCCAGGAUUCCUCAGAUAGUAACAGACCUUGAGGACAGCUGUCCGGGACAGGAAAUUAAUACUGAGAAAGCUGCACCAGUGUCCAUGAGGAAGUCAAUUUCCUGGCUCUCAAUGGUUAAAAUUCCCCAGGGCUCAGUGAAAGUGAUGAAAUGAGCUGGUGCUUGCUCCAGGCACCCUCAGUCCUGUUGUUGGAUCAUCUGGUUGGGGGCUCCUGGCCCAGAGAACCUUUGUCCUCUAGGGCAGUGCACCUUCCAGUGAUUGCCUUGGCAUAGUGGACAUGGCUGAGGGGGCUGCUUGUUUCUUGUUGGAAACCUUUUUUAAGGUGUCCUUGCAAACCACACUGGUAACAAGCACUACCAGGUGAUUGGCCUGCUCCAUUUUCUGUCCUCUCUGAACCACCAAAGUUUGUCUGAGGGCCAUGACUAAGGCUGCGGACUUUCUGUAAACUUGCUUUUCCUUUUUGGCCUUUUCCUCUUGGUCCCUAUUAUAAAACACCAAGGUUGCCAGGUUUAAUAAUGCCUCCAGAUUUUGUUGAGGGCCCAGGGGUCACUUUUGGAGCUUUCUUCUCAUAUCUGCAGCUGAUUGGGUAAUAAACUCAUCUUUUAGCAUCAAUUGACAAUUGAGUGAGUCGGGUGACAGGGCAGUAUAUUUUCUUAAGGCCUCCAUAGCCACACAAGGAAGACAGAAGGAUUUUCUUCCUUUCCCUGAAUUAUGGUGGACAUCAUUGAAUAAUUCAUGGGGUUUUUCCUCAUUCUCCUUAGUCUUUCUAGAACACAUGUCAGCAGAUGUUUACAACUCCAGUCCCUAUGAUCUGAGUCAAGGUCUCAGUGGUGAUUCAUACUGGGAUGGCUUGCUGACCAGUAGGGAAUUUGUCCCUUUCUUUGGCUGUCAUUCUAUCAUUUAUUUGACAAAGAUACCAGAUAUCUCCAAACUCUUGGACUGCAGCUAAAGCUGCAUUCUUUUAAUUAAAGGCCAGUGUUUGAUCUAACAAUAGCAUGACAACUCUUUUAGUGAGGUCAAAGGUUUGGCCUAGAUCCUAUAGGAUAUCUAUGUACCUAUGAGAAUCAUCUGAAAACAUUCCCAGGUCUGCCUUUUUCUGCCUUAAAUCAGAGAGGGAGAAGGGGACAUGUAACCAGGUUGGGCCAAGUUCCUCUCUCCUUACAGCUUGAAGGGGACAUAACUGAUAGCCUGGGGGUUUUUGUGGUCCUUUGGAGAUUUCUUUUCUUGUUUCCUUCUGGGAAGGGGAGAUUAGAGGGGGAUUAUCAUUAAUAGGAAGGGGAGCUAUUAGAGGGAGAUUAUCAUUAAUAGGAAGGGGAGCUAUAGGGAGGCUAGGAUAUGGAGGUAAGCUGAGAGGUCCUCCUGUGGGGUGUAAAUUGCAAGCUUUGCAUAGUUGUAGAUUCUCCUUCAAUGAAAAGAAAGCUUGAACAUAUGGUAUUUUACUCCAUUUGCCUUCUCUCUUACAAAAAAGAUUCAGGCUGCAGGACAGUGUUGUAAUUUAUACUUCCCACAGGUGGCCAUUUUUCCCCAUCAGAGAGAAUACUGGGGCCAAGCCAUAGUGCAGAAAAAAAUGAGCUGCCUCUUUUCCAGAUUUUUCAGGUCAAAUUGGUCCCAGUGGCUUAGGAUGCAUUUCAAGGGUGAACCUGUUCCUGCUUGAGUGUUUCCCAUCUGAAAAACAAAACCACCCACAGUUUUGGUUUAUUUGUUUCAACACCUCCAUCAAAGCCCAGGAACCCUCAAUGGUCCCUAGACCUGCUGAUCAGAAGAGUUGCACUCACCAAUGUAGCAGUAUAAACACCUGUUGCUCAGUAACAUGCAAUGGUCCCUGGACCCUGCUGAUUGGAAUAGUUGCACUCACCAAUGCAGCAGCAGAAACCAUAGUUUUCCUCCUAGACCACAAGAGGACUGAGGAAGGUAAGAUUUAGUGGCCCUUAUCAAUGCAUUCUCAAAAACAUGCCCCCUUGCCUGUCCUCCUAGACCACAAAAGAGGACCAAGAAAAAUUGGAUUUAGUGGCCCUUACCAAUGCAUUCUCAAAAACCUGUUAGAGUGCUAAGCAUUCUCCUGUUAGUAUUGGGACUUUAUUGUUAUCUUAUAAAGAUGCUGUGCCCCAAAAAUAUAGUGGAGGGCCAUACCCUGAGGGAGGAAAGGGAUCUCCAGGGUUGGAAGAGUGAUGUCUUUUGUCCUCGCUUGAAUAGGAAGGAUAUCAUUUCUGAAGCUCCCCAUAUCCUAGCUUCAGGAAUAGCUUUUGUUAGGCCUGCUUGUCUGAGGAGGAAUACUAAAAUUCCAGAUAGGUCCCUUCCUGGCAGGGCUUUGGGCAAAAAUUAUGCCUUUCUGAUUGGUAAGCUGGGGUGCCUAAAUAAGGGAAUAGAGUCCUGGAGUUUAUACUAGAAAUCAUUCUUAUACGAGAAAGUAGAAAAGAACCAGAGACAGGAGUGGUUUUUAGAAGUGGGAUGAGCCUCAGAGAAGAGAGGCAAGAGGAAGUUUGUCUGACAGGCUUUAGGAGCCAGGAGGCAAGGGUCAGUAUAGACAGGACAGAUGAGCAAGUCUCACUUGGGCGAUGUGACUUUGACAGCUCCACUCAUCACUACAGGGUCAACCAACAUUUUGUUGGGAUCCCAGAGCUGAAUGGCUUUCCUCUCUGUUGAUCCUCAGCUUACCCAGAAGUACAGGAAAAGUGGAAGCUGGUUCCAGACAAGCCAAUGCUCCCAACUCCAAAGAGUCAGGGGUUGUUAGAGGGUCCUUUCCUAGAAGCUUGACACCCAUGUCUGUAGUCCAGUGGCUGCGCUAGUUGCUUUUAACUGGCCUACUGGUGCCCAGUAUUUAGCCCCAGAAUUCUAAGGAAAAAUAGGACAGAAUAGCAAGUGAUAGGGGCCUGAUGGUAUUCACCACUUGGUGUUGCUCCCUUUGUGGUCACCAAGAUGUGUCCUAUAUGGGUCACCAAUAUGUGUCCCCUUGCGGUCACCCAGACCAGUAACAGCUUUAAUAUUAUGGGCUUUAAAGCAGUCUUGGCUCUGUUACACACAGAAAAGUCUGAAAAGGGACAGGAGGAGGAAAUGUCACCUGUCUUAUCACCUCCUAUUCCCUCAGCCCUAGUAUCACCAGGUUGAAAUAACAAAGGGAAACAGAGGUCUUACCUAAGCCUCCUACUCCAAUAGGUAAGAAAAAAGACUUUGGAUCUGCUAUAGCUAUCAGUCUCUUGUCUUAAGCAGGCAGAACUAAAAGAGAAGCUCUUAGCCUGCCCAGUAAUCCAAUAUUGGCAAAGUGAUCAGGUACCUAAAUGGCUAAGAAAAGUCAUUAGAAGCCAAAGCGACACAGCCAAGUGAACAGUAAGUAGAAAGAAAAACUCCACCCACACUGCAGCUGCAGCAACAAAGAGCCAAGCCACUGUCAGUGCUAGCCUGCUAGGGAGGGGCAAAAAGCACUUGCAACAGAGUUGAUCUAAGCCGAGAUGCACCCUGGUGAGCAACAGCCACCUGGAGGUGGGGAGAGGGAGCUGGCGCAGAGGAAAAAUGGCACAGUAAAAAAGAUGCACCUUUAUAAAUGUAAAGCAGCCUCCACCGCGGGACCCAACUGAUUGGCUCACUGGCUCUGCAGGCAACCCAUGGCAAAAUCACAUGUGCUUCUUGUUUACUAGCAACAUCCCAGAUUAUAAUUUUUUGAUAAGAUUUAAAUAAAAUAUAAGAAUUUGAAAGAUCUUUUUGUAAUAAAAGCCUCUGUUGUUAUCUCUCUCCAAAUUCAUUUUAAAUAAAACAGUAACCUCUAGAAGGAGAGUCAUUACAGAAGGCCCAUGAGUCAGUUUAGGAACAAUUAAAAGCAAAUUAUGCUCCCCUGAAGUGAUUCCUCAAGAUUGGCCUACAAUUGUUAAUGACUUAAAAGAUUGUUUCUAUAUACGAUUCCUCUAGCAGAACAGGACAAUACCAUCUAUUUUUUUUUUCUUUUUUUUUUGAGAUGGAGUCUUGCUCUGUUGCCCAGGCUGGAGGUCAGAGGUGUGAUCUUGGCUCACUUCAAGCUCUACCUCCCAGGUUCAUGCCAUUCUCCUGCCUCAGCCUCCCGAGUAGCUGGGACUACAGGUGUCUGCCACCAUGCUUGGCUAAUUUUUUGUAUUUUUAGUAGAGAUGGAGUUUCACCAUGUUAGCCAGGAUGGUCUCAAUCUCCUGACCUUGUGAUCCACCCACCUUGGCCUCCCAAAGUGCUGGGAUUACAGGUGUGAGCCACCAUGCCAGGCCAAUACCAGCUAUUAAUCAUGACAAACCAAUUUGUCAAUUUCAUUGGAAAGUGCUUCCUCAAGGAAUGCUAAACUGUCCUACCAUGUGUCACUAUAAUGUAAAUCAAGCUUUGCUCCCUAGUAAAAAAAAAAAUUUCCUGACUGUAAAACUAUUCAUUUUAUGGAUAAUAUUCUACUAGCAACCCCAACGGAGCAAAUAAUUUUACAUUUGUUUACCUCUGUCGUAAAGACUACAAAGCUAAAAGGUUUAGUCAUUGUGCCUUAAAAAGUACAAAUGUCUUCUUGGAAAUAUAUUGGAUAUCUGUUAAGCUCUCUGUCAGUAAGAUCUCAAAAAGUUAAGCUAAAUACUAGCAACUUAGGAGACAUUAAUUGAUUCCAUCCCACUUUAAGGAUUUCUACUGACAAACUACAAAACCUGUUUUCUCUCUUAAAGGGCAAUCCAGCCCUGGAUUCUCCCAGAUAUUUAACCCCUGCAGCAAAAAGGGAAAUUGAGGAAAUUGAGCAAGCCAUCUCUCAGAGGCAGCUAGAUCUCAUUAAUCCACAGUAUUCAAUUCAGCUGUUUAUCUUUGUCACCAAAUACUUCCCUACAGGGUUACUAGGACAAAUGAACCCUGGGCUAUGUUUCAAAUAAUGGGUUUUUUGCUUACAUACUGGGACUAAAACACUCUCUUCCUAUAUUCAGUUAAUUAGUAAAGUCAUUUAUUCAGGUCACAAAUGUUGCAAUCAGUUUCUAGGUUAUGACUCCGGUGUUAUCAGUCCUUUAAGUAAAAAGCAAUUUGAAAUGUAUUACCUUUGUCAAUAAAUCUGCAAAUAGUUUUCUCUGAUUACAUAGGACAAAUAGAGCAUUUGCUCCCUGCUAAUAAACUACUUCAUUUUAUAUCUCACACUCUGGUAAUAUUGCCUACAAAAACAGUUUACUUUCCCAUACCUAACGGUUUAACACUGUUUACUGAUGGGUCUGGUAAACACGGAAAAGUGCGAGUCUGGUAAAGACUAAACAAUUCACUCAGUCUAGGUUUGCUAGUAUUCAGACAGCUAAGGUUACUCUGCUUAUUAUUAAAAAACUUUUACAGCCUUAAUUAUAUCUUUUUCUUCGACUUCAGCAACUGCAAAAUUAACACACACAUGCCAUUUUUAUUACACACAUUCGAGCCCACAGCUCACUGUCUGUACCAUUGGCUUAUGGCAAAGAACAAGCAGACCUUCAGAUUAUGACAUCACUGCUUGACCAAACCCCCUGUUGCAUCAAUUUUUCCACCAAAAUUGAAGAAACUUAUGUAAACAAAUUCAACUUAUUCUGAGUGUGACUAAACAAAUUUUCCUGCAAGGCCCAGAUUGUCAGCUUGAGAGGUGACAAUGUCCUAGCAGCGGUCACUCACUCUUGGUGCCUCCUCAGCCUCGGCAUCCACUCUGGCCAUGCUCGAGGAGCCCUUCAGCCCACUGCUACACUGUGGGGGCCCCUCUCUGGGGCUGACCGAGGCCAGAGGCAGCUCCCUCUCCUCAGGCAAAGGUGUGGAGGGAAAGGCAUGAGUGGGAGCCAGAGCUGUGCGCAGCACUCGUGGGCCAGUGCAGGUUCUGGGUGUGUGCAGGCUCAGUGGGCCCCACACUCGGUGCGGCCGGCUGGCACCUGCUGGGCUUGAUCAGGGGAUGAGCUCCCUCUGGGCUGCCAGCAUGCCUGCGGAGGGUGCCAGUAAGAGGUGAAACCGGCUGGAUUUCUGGGACAGGGGGGAACUUGGAGAAAUUUUCUGUCUAGAUAAAGGAUUGUAAACACACCAAUCAUCACUCAGUGUCUAGCUAAAGGUUUGGAAACUCGCCAAUCAGUGCUCUGUGUCUAGCUAAAGGUUUCUAAAUGCACCAAUCAGCAUGCUGUCAAAAUGGACCAAUCAGCUCUCUGUAAAAUGGACCAAUCAGCUCUCUGUAAAAUGGACCAAUGAGCAGGAUGUGGGUGGGAGCAGAUAAGGGAAUAAAAGCAGGCCACCUGAGUCAGUAGCAGCAACCUGCUGGGGUUCCCUUCCACUCUGUGGAAGCUUUGUUCUUUCACUCUUUGCAGUGAAUCUUGCUGCUUUUCACUCUUUGGGGCUGCACCACCUUUAUGAGCUGUAAUACUCACCAGGAAGGUCUGCAGCUUCACUCCUGAAACAAGUGAGACCACAAACCCACCAGAAGGAAUGAACAACUCCAGAAGCUCCGCCUUUAAGAACUGUAACACUCACUGUGAAGAUCUGCAGCUUCACUCCUGAAGUCAGCGAGACCAAGAACCCACCAGAAAGAAGAAAUUCUGGAUGCAUCUGAACAUCUGAAGGAACAAACUCCAGACACACCAUCUUUAAGAACUGUAACACUCACCACGAGGGUCUGCAGCUUCAUUCUUGAAGCCAGUGAGACCAAGAACCCACCAAUUCUGGUCACAGGUUCACAGGCAUGUCCCCUCCUUCUACAGCUGUGAAUUCUAGAGGAUUGGAACCUAAUUAGUUGUGGCAAACAGACAUUACACACAUCCCUGAAUUUGGAUAACUAAGAUAUGUACAUGUAUCUGUUGCUACCAACACUCAUUUACAUAAUGUAGUCCUAAUGAAUUAUUAACAUGAAGAAGAGGGUAUGUUUAUGUUCACAUCCCCUUAGGUCCUCUUUAGAUUCCUGCAUGAUGCAUCAAACCAUACCAUGGAGUGGCUAAGAACCCAUCCCGGUACUGGAAAUGAAGACAAUGACCCUACAUAACUUCCAAAAUCAGACAGAAACAGAAAGAUUAAUGAGAAAAAUAAAGGGAAAGAGUGAGUAAGAAAUAGACUAAAAACAAAAAGCUGAGAGACAGACACAGCAAUUAAUACUAAGGAGAAACAUAAAAGAGGAUGGAGAGAGAGAAAUAUUAAGUAAGUUAUAAGAAUGCAACUUUAGCAAGGAAAGUUAUAAAACAAAAUUAGAAAGUUAAGGCAUGUAAAAGAUUGUAAAAGUUGUGAAGAAUGUUAUAAAAAGGAAUUUCUGUGGAAAUGUUAUAUAAUCUUUGUUUUGAAGGUCUAAGCAAGUUGUAAUUGUAGAAAAUAUUCUGUAUGUAAACAUAUUGGCUAAAGUUAAAAAAGUAUUCAGUUUUUCUAUAUGCUACAGAUUAAAAUAAAGCACAAGUUGUUCUUAAAACAAUAACCUGCUCUUUAAACAUCAUACAAACUCUCUUAGCCCAGUCACCACCCCUAGAAUUUCCAACACCAGAUUGGAAAGUAUGUCCUCAUCAAAGGAUAGAAAGAAGAAAAAACUUGAGCCAGCCUCAGAAAGACCCUAGGACCUGUAGCCUCAAACAAUGCAGCUUGCUAAGACAAUGCAUGCCCUGGACAGAAUGCUGAGGAAGAUGACUCAGAAGACUGUAUGAGUCCUGCUCUGGAAACAGACAGCAUUCACUCCAGAUAAUUUAUUUCAUUUUAAUUUUCUUGCUGUGCCUAUAUCUAUACCUGCUACACACUAUUAAGCUCAUCUCUUAAUUCUGCCUUUUUUCAGCCCUGUUACUUAAGCAGACACUCCCUUUCCAGCUUUUAACAAUGUAACUGUUUGCCUGGAAGGAGUUAACAAACACCCAGUGGAGUUCCUUGGUAGCAGCACACAUCAAACUAACAUCCAAGUAACACUAAAGCACCAUGUAAGAACUGCCUUUUGCCUCACAUCGUUAUUCUGAGGCCCCCUGACCAUGUGAGACUGUAAGUCAAAUUAAACCUUUUUUUCUUCCCAGUCUUUAUCAACAGUGUGAAAAUGGACUAAUGCACAACACUCAGUUGUGCAAAUGCCUACACAUAUCUAUGGUUACUGGCACAUGACCUUUACCUAUAUACAGGUGGCUAUACAAAUACUUUAAAAUGUUCUAGUGCACAUUCAUAAGAAACAUUGAUGGUUAUUAAGGUUAUCCAGACGACAGAAUACAUAUAUAAUAUGUGUAUUUUAAAUAAGUGUAUGAGCAUUUUAUUUAAACACCUCUGUAUUUAAAUAAUAUUUUAUAUAUACUACAAAUAUGUGUAAUGUGUAUAUAAUAUAUUUUUUUCUUUCUGCUGCUAAAAAAGAAUGCUGAAGAUUGGAGAAUUUGUGUUUAAAAAGGCAUUUUAUUACAAAGGCUAGGAAAUUUGAGACUAAAUCAGUAGCAUCUGGAGAGGUUCUGGUUUCUAGAAAGCUGCUUCUCCCAUGGGGAGAGACUUUGUGUUCUUGCAUGAAAAAAGAGCAAAAAGUGAAUCAAUUUCUGCAAGACUUUUUAAUGGCAACAUUAAUUCAUUCAUGAGGGGAGAUCUUUAAUGACCUAUUGUGACCUACCUUUCAACACUAGUGCAC